UUAUGAUAAUUAAUACAUACGAUAAAAUUGGAACGAUACAGAAAAGAUUAACAUGACCUUUGCGCAAAAAUGACACAUACAAAUCGAGAAAUUAUUCAAAUUUUU